rnacentral:rRNA from 1 species
AAGGGCACCACAAGAACGCGUGGAGCAUGUGGCUUAAUUUGACUCAACGCGGGAAAUCUUACCGGGUCCGGACACACUGAGGAUUGACAGGCAAUAUUAUAAUUUUUUAAUUGAAAUAAAUUUUUAUUAAUUUAUUUUUUUUAUUUUUUAUAUGUUAAAUAUGCUAGUCCUUUCAUGAUUAUGUGAUAGGUGGUGCAUGGCCGUUCUUAGUUCGUGGAGUGAUCUGUCUGCUUAAUUGCGUUUCACUAUUGGGCUUAUAUAAUUACGUAUGUUGUUAACGCUUUGACCCCUUUCUACGGAUUGUGCGUGUCUUUGUCUCGUUUAACUCAUACAAUUAAGCCCUGAAAGCAACGAACGUGACCGCAACCUCUUGUUGCUCUCAUAUUACCUUAUACUGCAUAAUAUUUGAAUAAUUUAUUUUAUUUUUUUUUAUGUUUAAGAGAGCUUUCUAAACUAGAGGGACCGCUGUUACUUUCUUAAACCAGAGGAAGGUUGCGGCAAUAACAGGUCUGUGAUGCCCUUAGAUGUUCCGGGCUGCACACGUGCUACAAUGAUUAUUGCAGUGAGCAUCUCAUUUUUUACACAUCGCAUGCGCGAGUCCAUUUAUUCAGAUAUCUUUCAUUUACUUUCGGGUGAAUGUAGUGUUUGCUUUAAAUGUGUAUCUCUGCGCGCGAUAAAGCCUGCUUCGAAAGUAAGUGGGUAAUCAAUUAGAAGUAAUGAUUUCCUUUUUUUUUCUGCACACAUAUAUAUGGCACUUAUACCCGGGUAACCUUGUUGUUACUUUUGUGCGUAUACGUGAUAAUCUUUACCGAUUAUACUACCAUAUGUGCAAUUGUCAAUUCAUGGUGGGGCCAGACCAUUGUUAAUUGUUGGUCUCGGUCUUAACUAGGAAUGCCUUGUACGGAUCUUUGGUUCAACAAACCAUCCGGAAUACGUCCCUGCCCUUUGUACACACCGCCCGUC